GUAGGUGGCAAGCGUUGUCCGGAAUUAUUGGGCGUAAAGCGCGCGCAGGGCGGUCCUUUAAGUCUGAUGUGAAAGCCCACGGCUCAACCGUGGAGGGUCAUUGGAAACUGGGGGACUUGAGUACAGAAGAGGAAAGCGGAAUUCCAAGUGUAGCGGUGAAAUGCGUAGAGAUUUGGAGGAACACCAGUGGCGAAGGCGGCUUUCUGGUCUGUAACUGACGCUGAGGCGCGAAAGCGUGGGUAGCAAACAGGAUUAGAUACCCAGGUAGUCCACGCCGUAAACGAUGAGUGCUAAGUGUUAGGGGGUUUCCGCCCCUUAGUGCUGCAGCUAACGCAUUAAGCACUCCGCCUGGGGAGUACGGCCGCAAGGCUG
rnacentral:rRNA from 1 species